UGGUUGGGUUACCUUCUAUUGUUCUCCCUCUAUAACUACCACUAACUUAACCGUCAAGGGGUCCCUCACUGAAGAACCCCCAUCCUGUUCUCUGAUGGUCGGACUUUCUCUACAGGUGCUUGUGUCGGAUUAGCGUCUGUCUGCAUCGUUGACCUGUGGCCCUUCGAUUAGAGUCCAGCCACUCUUAUUUGGCAAGCAUCCUCCAGCUAUUCCGCCAC
rnacentral:lncRNA from 1 species